GACGAACGCUGGCGGCGUGCUUAACACAUGCAAGUCGAACGGAAAGGCCCUGCUUUUGUGGGGUGCUCGAGUGGCGAACGGGUGAGUAACACGUGAGUAACCUGCCCUUGACUUUGGGAUAACUUCAGGAAACUGGGGCUAAUACCGGAUAGGAGCUCCUGCUGCAUGGUGGGGGUUGGAAAGUUUCGGCGGUUGGGGAUGGACUCGCGGCUUAUCAGCUUGUUGGUGGGGUAGUGGCUUACCAAGGCUUUGACGGGUAGCCGGCCUGAGAGGGUGACCGGCCACAUUGGGACUGAGAUACGGCCCAGACUCCCACGGGAGGCAGCAGUGGGGAAUAUUGCACAAUGGGCGGAAGCCUGAUGCAGCAACGCCGCGUGCGGGAUGACGGCCUUCGGGUUGUAAACCGCUUUCGCCUGUGACGAAGCGUGAGUGACGGUAAUGGGUAAAGAAGCACCGGCUAACUACGUGCCAGCAGCCGCGGUGAUACGUAGGGUGCGAGCGUUGUCCGGAUUUAUUGGGCGUAAAGGGCUCGUAGGUGGUUGAUCGCGUCGGAAGUGUAAUCUUGGGGCUUAACCCUGAGCGUGCUUUCGAUACGGGUUGACUUGAGGAAGGUAGGGGAGAAUGGAAUUCCUGGUGGAGCGGUGGAAUGCGCAGAUAUCAGGAGGAACACCAGUGGCGAAGGCGGUUCUCUGGGCCUUUCCUGACGCUGAGGAGCGAAAGCGUGGGGAGCGAACAGGCUUAGAUACCCUGGUAGUCCACGCUGUAAACGGUGGGUACUAGGUGUGGGGUCCAUUCCACGGGUUCCGUGCCGUAGCUAACGCUUUAAGUACCCCGCCUGGGGAGUACGGCCGCAAGGCUAAAACUCAAAGGAAUUGACGGGGCCCCGCACAAGCGGCGGAGCAUGCGGAUUAAUUCGAUGCAACGCGUAGAACCUUACCUGGGUUUGACAUGGAUCGGGAGUGCUCAGAGAUGGGUGUGCCUCUUUUGGGGUCGGUUCACAGGUGGUGCAUGGCUGUCGUCAGCUCGUGUCGUGAGAUGUUGGGUUAAGUCCCGCAACGAGCGCAACCCUUGUUCACUGUUGCCAGCACGUUAUGGUGGGGACUCAGUGGAGACCGCCGGGGUCAACUCGGAGGAAGGUGGGGAUGACGUCAAGUCAUCAUGCCCCUUAUGUCCAGGGCUUCACGCAUGCUACAAUGGCUGGUACAGAGAGUGGCGAGCCUGUGAGGGUGAGCGAAUCUCGGAAAGCCGGUCUCAGUUCGGAUUGGGGUCUGCAACUCGACCUCAUGAAGUCGGAGUCGCUAGUAAUCGCAGAUCAGCAACGCUGCGGUGAAUACGUUCCCGGGGCC
rnacentral:rRNA from 1 species